GUCAAGGCCAUGCCACCCUGAACACACUCAAUCCCAUCCCAUAGCGGAAGCUAAGCAGGGUUGGGCCUGGUUAGUACUUGGAUGGGAGACCACCUAGGAAGAGCUGGUGCUGUAGGCA
rnacentral:rRNA from 1 species